UAGGGAAUCUUCCGCAAUGGACGCAAGUCUGACGGAGCAACGCCGCGUGAGUGAAGAAGGUUUUCGGAUCGUAAAACUCUGUUGUUAGAGAAGAACAAGUGCUAGAGUAACUGUUAGCGCCUUGACGGUAUCUAACCAGAAAGCCACGGCUAACUACGUGCCAGCAGCCGCGGUAAUACGUAGGUGGCAAGCGUUGUCCGGAUUUAUUGGGCGUAAAGCGAGCGCAGGCGGUUCCUUAAGUCUGAUGUGAAAGCCCCCGGCUCAACCGGGGAGGGUCAUUGGAAACUGGGGAACUUGAGUGCAGAAGAGGAGAGUGGAAUUCCAUGUGUAGCGGUGAAAUGCGUAGAUAUAUGGAGGAACACCAGUGGCGAAGGCGACUCUCUGGUCUGUAACUGACGCUGAGGCUCGAAAGCGUGGGUAGCAAACAGGAUUAGAUACCCUGGUAGUCCACGCCGUAAACGAUGAGUGCUAAGUGUUGGAGGGUUUCCACCCUUCAGUGCUGCAGUUAACGCAUUAAGCACUCCGCCUGGGGAGUACGACCGCAAGGUUG
rnacentral:rRNA from 1 species